rnacentral:rRNA from 1 species
AUUGAACGCUGGCGGCAGGCUUAACACAUGCAAGUCGAGCGGGGGAAGGUAGCUUGCUACCGGACCUAGCGGCGGACGGGUGAGUAAUGCUUAGGAAUCUGCCUAUUAGUGGGGGACAACAUCUCGAAAGGGAUGCUAAUACCGCAUACGUCCUACGGGAGAAAGCAGGGGAUCUUCGGACCUUGCGCUAAUAGAUGAGCCUAAGUCGGAUUAGCUAGUUGGUGGGGUAAAGGCCUACCAAGGCGACGAUCUGUAGCGGGUCUGGGAGGAUGAUCCGCCACACGGGGACUGGGACACGACCACAGCUCCUACGGGAGGCAGCAGUGGGGAAUAUUUGACAAUGGGGGGAACCCGGAUCCAGCCAUGCCGCGUGUGUGAAGAAGGCCUUAUGGUUGUAAAGCACUUUAAGCGAGGAGGAGGCUACUCUAGUUAAUACCUAGGGAUAGUGGACGUUACUCGCAGAAUAAGCACCGGCUAACUCUGUGCCAGCCGCCGCGGUAA